rnacentral:rRNA from 1 species
AGAGUUAAAUAGUACGUGAAAUUGUUGAAAGGGAAACGAUUGAAGUCAGUCAUGCUAGUAGGGAAUCAACUUGACGGAUCGUAGGACUUAUCUUAUGAUCUAUCUUGUGCACUUUCUUGCUUGGCAGGUUAGCAUCAAUUUCGGGUAUCAUUAAAAAAUUGAGGGAAUGUAGCUUUCUUUCGGGAAAGUGUUAUAGACCUUAAUAAAAUGUGGUGACCGAGAUUGAGGAUUGCAGCGGAUACCUCUUAAGGCUAGUCACCUUGCUUCUGACAGUUACCCUGCUUUCGAGAGCUUGCUCACGAUUGUGGGAUUCAACAGUCUAGAUGUUAGAGUGAUCUUAAAUUCGCUAAGGAUGCUGACGUAAUGGCUUUAAACGACC